UUCCCGAGGGCAGCAGCCGCGGCCCGGAGAUAAGCGCUAGCGCGGCGCGGGCUCUGCCUGGGCUAGUGGCACCGACUUGGUGUUCUGCUUGGGGACAAGCUGAACCCACAAUACCCAGCACUCCAGUCUUCUGUGGCCUGCUGACUGGAACAUGGGAAGACAAGACCCAGGCCCUGUUUCCAGAAGAAAACCCAGUAAUGACUGGCCUAGUCAGUGGACUCUCUCACUGUCUGCCAUUGAAUGGAUUUGCUAACACCCACGCAAUACACCACAGCCGCUGGAUAAACCCAAAAGGCCCAUAAUUACCUGACAAAGGGAGAAGAAAACGCCGAGACGAGACAGAAAACCGGUCCUCUUCCCAUAGAAACAACAGCAGAUCAGCCUGGCCAAAAGAACCGAGAAGACCCGCUGCCUGCGAAGGCCUACACACCUAAGAUGCAGCAACUUCCCUCAAGCCAAAGAAAGGCAAAAGGGUAGAAGGCACUGCAAGGCGGCGAGACAAGUUUCCUCAACGCGGAGGUGGGACUGGUGACAAUUUCCGAACUCACAAUCUCCAAGGCUCUGCAAAUAGUCCUCAAGGAAAGCGGCCCACGCAGCUGUCGCUGUGCCCGUGGCCUCUACUUGCGUUUGUCCUGCUGUCCAGACAAAUCUGAGGUUGUGCGUUCCGUGCAGUGGCUUGUUUGGGGGUUUGCCGCUAGAAACAAACACACCCCUCUGAGCCACCCCCACGGGAGCACACACGUCUUUAGUCUCUGCAGACGCCCCUCCUGCACAACGCCGCUUUUGGGGCAGACUCUUUGUCCACUUGAAGCCCGGCAUCCUCCGGGCUUGCAGCUGAAGGGAACCCAGCUCCAAAAACUCCUCCGAAGUUAAAUAUUGACCAGAACCUCUUUCAACCGGCUGCGGCUGCCAGGGAGCGCAUACUCCUCGCAGAGGCCGGCUGCUAAGCCCUGCACAGCGAAGAGCUUUGGCUGAGCGCUUACCUCGAAAGAUGAUUAAGACCGAACCGGGGAUAGUCUCCAACUCCGGGCGCUCAGGAAAUCGCCUUUUCCGGUGUCCGGGCGCUCUGCGGACAAAAAAAAAAAAAAAAAAAAAAAGCAGAGCAGAGAGUGAACGUACAGUGGCUGCUAAGGAAGGAGCUGGAGGACCGGAGUUGGAAGCGCCGCCGGCGCGGGCGCCAGGGUGGCCCCCAGGGUGACGCGGACACGGAGGAGUCGCCAGAGCACUCGUCCAUGCGUCGCGCUCAUUGCUCAAAAGGUUCCAGUCUACAAAUGGCCUGAAGAUGGUGAUUUAUUUUUGUAAAAUAAAUACAUACUCCAUCUCCGCACC